GAUGAACGCUGGCGGCGUGCCUAAUACAUGCAAGUCGUGCGAGGUAGCUUGCUACCUAGCGGCGAACGGGUGAGUAACACGUAGGUAACCUGCCUUUAAGACUGGGAUACCCAGAGGAAACUUUGGCUAAUACCGGAUAACAACGGGAGCGGCAUCGCUUCCGCUUGAAAGUCGCGUUUGCGGCACUUUUAGAUGGACCUGCGGAACAUUAGCUAGUUGGUGAGAUAACAGCCCACCAAGGCGAGGAUGUUUAGCCGACCUGAGAGGGUGAACGGCCACAAUGGGACUGAGACACGGCCCAUACUCC
rnacentral:rRNA from 1 species